GUGCACCUACGGGAGGCAGCAGUGGGGGAUAUUGGACAAUGGGGGAAACCCUGAUCCAGCGAUGCCGCGUGAGGGAAGACGGCUCUAUGGGUUGUAAUCCUCUUUUGUCGGAGAACAAAACCCGGGACGUGUCCCGGACUGCGUGUAUCCGAAGAAAAAGCAUCGGCUAACUCCGUGCCAGCAGCCGCGGUAAUACGGAGGAUGCGAGCGUUAUCCGGAUUUAUUGGGUUUAAAGGGUGCGUAGGCGGUCCGUUAAGUCAGCGGUAAAAUUGCGGGG
rnacentral:rRNA from 1 species